ensembl:lncRNA
GAAAGGAAUAGUGCACUUGGUUCAGUCACCAAAAUGUACAAAUAAUAGAGAAGUAAGAAGCACAGACCAGAAAUCAUCUCCCAGUCUGGAGUGUGUGCUCACCGCAGAGCUGUUUUUGUGUCAUUGCGUACAACAGCUGGACGCCACACAAUGGUCUGUUAUUUCUCGUGUCGUGGGUCAGUGGGCGGUUCUGCUGAUCUACGCUGGGUUAGCGGGGCUCCCUCACCCAGUGCUGGGGGCUGGGAUGGACGAUCCAAGUGGCCUUGGCGGGGAUGACCAGCCAUGCUUCACAUGUCCACCCUCCACCGGGCUGGCCAGGAGAGAGCCCGGAACACACAGGCUUCCUAGCUUGGACCUGGCACAGCGUCACUUCUGUCACAUCCCAAGGCCUGGACUCCAGGGCAGAGGAGAUGGAACCCCCUCUGGUGGGAGAAGCUGCUGUCACACGGCAGAGGCCUGCGUGCUGGGAGGGGAACCAGCCAGCUGGGGUCAGGCCUUCACAGCCUUCCAACUCAUAAUCAUUCUGCAGCAAUCGGUUGCAUGAACUUUAUGAUUUCGUUCACUACAAAUGUCAGCAAAUGUGAAAUGUCCCCGGAGGUUCAAACCCCCAUGUCGUUAGUGCUUCCUACAGCGCUGGAUCCCUUUGUGACCAUCUCUCCAUGGUAAUCAGCAGGCACAAAGCAACUGGCUUUAAUCUCCACAGGGGCCAACUGCUCAGGAAAUUAUUUGGGGCUGGCAGCUGCCCCGGCCUCCUAGACGCGCCUGUACGCGCCUCGACAUUCACACCACAGACGCAGCUGUGCAGGCCCCUGACGUCCCCGGGAAAGAUCAUGAGCCGUGAAGAGCUUGUUUGGCACUGAGCUCUGCUGUCCUGCGAGAGGAGAGACGUGGUAGAGUCAACCUAUUCCUCUUACUGCCUUCAAUGUGUCCAAUCACAAUAUUUGUGCCCCAUCAGUGUGCUGGAACUUCUCUGCUGGACUCCUGGAAUUCCACGAGAGCUUUCUCAUCCAUGGAGGUUGUCUGGAUGCAGUUGGAAGUGACUGAUACGUCUGCUGAUAGAUGGGCCGCGUAGACAGACUGCUGGUUAACUUACCUGAGGAUCGCGGCUGGAAGACCUGAGGCCAAGAAGUUCUAACAUCUGCCAUUGGCAAGCUAAAGAGGCAGGAGAGCUGAUGUUCCAGCCCCAGGCCAAGUCUGAAGAAAUAGAAGACUUAUAUCUCACCUGGAGACAGCCAGGCAGAGAGAGAGGACACAGCAGCAUCGGCCCUCUGCUCCUUCACACUAAAUAUAACUAUAAACCCUGGAAGUAACACAGCACGCAGCCAAAGGAGAGCUCUGAAAGGUGGAAGUGGAAGGAGAACUGGUUUGAGACCCGAGGACCAGAGAAACAGCACAGUGCCAGCUGGUGUGAGCCCCUCCAAUCAACUGAUGAAGCCAACUGACCUGGACCUGGGGUUUCCCAACCCCCAGCCCAGCAACAGAAGGUGGCCAGGAAGCAGACAACGGCCUGGUUAGACCUGUGUAGAGAUGUUCAUGGAUUCCAUCUUCUGGUGGUGUUUGCACGCUCCCCUGUAAGGAUCAGAGGGGGAUCCAGAGUUACCUCCCCACGAUGGGCAGAAGCAGGAUAGAGAAGACUUUCAAAAGCAGCCCCUUCUGUGGGAUUAGACAGGCUGGUUCCAAAAUGCACAUGGAAAUGAACGUCCAAGAAGAACAUGGUGGAAGGCUGUGCUCCACCAAGAGUGAGACCUGUUUUAAAGCCGUAAUAAUCAGGCCAGGGGAUGUCAGUGCGGGGAGAGGAAGACAGACUCAGCUCGGCGCAAGACCCACUGGUUCACAGACACAACUUGUGUCUGAAAUGGCCCUGCAGAGCGGGGGAGAAAAGUCUUUCCGAUAAAAGUGCUGGAAACUGGGAAUGCAGCUGGAAACAUAAACUGGUC